GGAAUGAGGUUACACAGUCAAAAAAAGUGUUUUCAUUACAUUUCACCAAAAAUGACUUCAUACCAACAUCCAAUGUUGCGAUAUUGCACCCACAAUUUCAUGCGGUGGAUCUUUUAAACGAGAAGUUUGGAGACAGAAUGCAAUUAUUUUAUACUCAUUAUCACAACUAGUAUCUGAUUGCUGUAGGCCACAUUUCAUUAGAUGUCCCGCAUCAAGUAUAUCUUCACCACCAAUAAAAUUUUUAUGACUAGGCUGAGUAUUUGCAAACUCACAAAUUUCUUGUAUUGAAAUUUUCAUAUUUUAUUGAAUUUUUUUUGAAAAUUCGAGUUUAAUAACUGUAAAUAAAUACACGCUUUCACAUAAGAACACGAAAGCUGAUUUAAAAAUGCGUUUUAGAAUAGUUACUGCUUCUGCCGCAAGGAGAAGCCACGCCCCCGGCAGAUUUCCCA